rnacentral:rRNA from 1 species
UCACUCCUACGGGAGGCAGCAGUAGGGAAUCUUGCGCAAUGGGCGAAAGCCUGACGCAGCCUUGCCGCGUGUAUGAUGAAGGUCUUAGGAUUGUAAAAUACUUUCACCGGGGAAGAUAAUGACGGUACCCGGAGAAGAAGCCCCGGCUAACUUCGUGCCAGCAGCCGCGGUAAUACAAAGGGGGCUAGCGUUGCUCGGAAUUACUGGGCGUAAAGGGCGCGUAGGCGGACAGUUUAUUCGGAGGUGAAAGCCCAGGGCUCAACCUUGGAAUUGCCUUUGAUACUGGCUGUCUUGAGUUCGGGAGAGGUGAGUGGAAUGCCCAGUGUAUAGGUGAAAUUCGUAGAUGUUCGGCGGAACACCAGUGGCGAAGGCGACUCACUGGCCCGAUACUGACUCUCAGGCGCGAAAGCGUGGGGAGCAAACAGGAUUAAAUACCCUGGUAGUCCACGCUGUAAACAAUGAGUGCUAGUUGUCGGCAUGCAUGCAUGUCGGUGACGCAGCUUACGCAUUAAGCACUCCCCCUGGGGAGUACGGUCGCAAGAUUAAAACUCAAAAGAAUUGACGG